CAGCCGCGUAAUUCCAGCUCCAAUAGCGUAUAUUAAAGUUGUUGCAGUUAAAAAGCUCGUAGUUGAACUUCGGGGUCUACCCAUUGGUCAGGCUUAAUUGUCUGCACUGGUGAGAUGGAUCUCUACCUUCUGAGGAACUUUCAUGCCAUUUAUUUGGUGUGAUGGGAAAUCAGGACUGUUACUUUGAAAAAAUUAGAGUGUUUAAAGCAGACUAUCGUCUGAAUACAUUAGCAUGGAAUAAUGAAAUAGGACGGACUGAUUCUAUUUCGUUGGUUUCUAGGAUCACCGUAAUGAUUAAUAGGGAUAGUUGGGGGCAUUAGUAUUCAAUUGUCAGAGGUGAAAUUCUUGGAUUUAUUGAAGACUAACUACUGCGAAAGCAUUUGCCAAGGAUGUUUUCAUUAAUCAAGAACGAAAGUUAGGGGAUCGAAGACGAUCAGAUACCGUCGUAGUCUUAACCAUAAACUAUGCCGACUAGGGAUCGGACGAAGUUAAUUUUAUAAUGACGCGUUCGACACCUUACG
rnacentral:rRNA from 1 species